AACGAACGCUGGCGGCAUGCCUAACACAUGCAAGUCGAACGAGACCUUCGGGUCUAGUGGCGCACGGGUGCGUAACGCGUGGGAACCUGCCCUUAGGUUCGGAAUAACUCCCCGAAAGGGGUGCUAAUACCGGAUAAUGUCUUCGGACCAAAGAUUUAUCGCCUUUGGAUGGGCCCGCGUUGGAUUAGCUAGUUGGUAGGGUAAAAGCCUACCAAGGCGACGAUCCAUAGCUGGUCUGAGAGGAUGACCAGCCACACUGGGACUGAGACACGGCCCAGACUCCUACGGGAGGCAGCAGUGGGGAAUAUUGGACAAUGGGCGAAAGCCUGAUCCAGCAAUGCCGCGUGAGUGAUGAAGGCCUUAGGGUUGUAAAGCUCUUUUACCCGGGAUGAUAAUGACAGUACCGGGAGAAUAAGCGCCGGCUAACUCCGUG
rnacentral:rRNA from 1 species